rnacentral:misc_RNA from 1 species
CCCGUACGCCCCGCGCACCGCGCCGCUGCGCCACCUGCUGCUGCCCUGCCGCGGCGUAGCGGAGACGCCCUUGGGCGAGGGCGUCCCGGACGGCGACGGCGACGGCGACGGAGAGGGUGAGGAGAUCAUCGCCGCGCGACUUGCUAGACCUGGCCUUCCCGUCGCCCGAUCAAGAGGGAACAAAAGGGAAUUGGGGAGUGGGUGGAAAGGGCCUGGUGGUGGGAGGAAGGAAGGAAGCAAGUGGAGGGGAAUGGUUAGAUUAGCAACGUGCUUUGCUUUUGGGAGGUGGUGUGGUGGUGGGUGCGCUGCUGCGCUGUUGGGUGUUGGUGUUGCUGAUGUGAUUCAUCAUGUUCGUAAUAGUUUAAUCUAACCAGCCAGCGGAUCAUUAGAGUAGUGGGAGGUGGGUUCGCUGCUUCCACUUUAUUUGCUUGGCUUUACUCGGUCGUUGCUUCUCUCCUUCCUUGCCCUCUACAUUACAUUGAUUUUGAUUAUAGUGCUCCUCUUGUGACUUGUGGUGCGCUUAAAAUGGUCCGGGCAUGCGUCACGUUUGCUGUUCCAGUCAUCAG